rnacentral:tRNA from 1 species
UCUGAAAUAGAUCAGUUAGUAGAGCGUCAGACUAUCAAUGAAAGGUCCUUGGUUCGAUCCCGGGUUCCGGCA